rnacentral:rRNA from 1 species
CCUACGGGUGGCAGCAGUGAGGAAUAUUGGUCAAUGGGCUUACGCCUGAACCAGCCAAGUCGCGUGAGGGAAGACUGCCCUAUGGGUUGUAAACCUCUUUUGUCAGGGAGCAAUUGGCGCUACGUGUAGCGUUAUCGAGAUUACCUGAAGAAAAAGCAUCGGCUAACUCCGUGCCAGCAGCCGCGGUAAUACGGAGGAUGCGAGCGUUAUCCGGAUUUAGUGGGUUUAAAGGGUGCGUAGGCGGAAUGCCAAGUCAGCGGUAAAAUCGCGGGGCUCAACCUCGCUCCGCCGUUGAAACUGGCGGUCUUGAGUGGGCGAGAAGUAUGCGGAAGGAGUGGUGUAGCGGUGAAAUGCAUAGAUAUCACGCAGAACUCCGAUUGCGAAGGCAGCAUACCGGCGCCCAACUGACGCUGAAGCACGAAAGCGUGGGUAUCGAACAGGAUUAGAUACCCCAGUAGUC